rnacentral:rRNA from 1 species
AACACGUGGGUARCCUACCCAUAAGACUGGGAUAACUCCGGGAAACCGGGGCUMUMUACCGGAUAAUAUUUUGAACUGCAUAGUUCGAAAUUGAAAGGCGGCUUCGGCUGUCACUUAUGGAUGGACCCGCGUCGCAUUAGCUAGUUSGUGAGGUAACGGCUCACCAAGGCAACGAUGCGUAGCCGACCUGAGAGGGUGAUCGGCCACACUGGGACUGAGACACGGCCCAKACUCCUACGGGARGCAGCAGUA